UACGUAGGGUGCGAACGUUGUCCGGAAUUAUUGGGCGUAAAGAGCUCGUAGGCGGCUUUGUCAGUCGGGUGUGAAACCUCCAGGCUCAACCUGGAGCCGCCACCCGAUACUGCAAUAGCUAGAGUCCGGUAGGGGAGCAUGGAACUCCUGGUGUAGCGGUGAAAUGCGCAGAUAUCAGGAAGAACACCAGUGGCGAAGGCGGUGCUCUGGGCCGGAACUGACGCUGAGGAGCGAAAGCGUGGGGAGCAAACAGG
rnacentral:rRNA from 1 species